rnacentral:tRNA from 1 species
GGUAUGUGGCUCAGUGGUCAAGUGUUUGCCUAGCAUGUGUGAGGCACUGGGUUCGAUUCUCAGCACCA